rnacentral:lncRNA from 1 species
GGCACACUAGCUGACAUGAAGAAUCAAAGUAAAAAUUACCACUGUCAGAGAAGUGAUACUAAUGGCGGACUACUGAUUGUUUGGGGACAUCCGAAAUCACUCAGGAUUGUGGUGACCAGUUGAACAGAGAUAUGCCAAAAGCAGGCAGUGAUUUAUAUCCCUGCAGGAGUCUCGCCCUGUCACCAGGCUGGAGUGCGAUGGUGCAAUCUCUGCUCACUGCAACUUCCACCUCCCGGGUUCAAAUUUCUCCUGCCUCAGCCUCCUAAGUGGCUGGGACUACAGGUGCCUGCCGCCAUGCCUGGCUAAUUUUUUGUAUUUUAGUAGAGAUGGGGUUUAGGCUGGUCUCGAACUCCUGAGCUCAGGCAAUCUGCCCUCCUGAGCUCAGGCAAUCUGCCUGCCUGGGCCUCCCAAAGUGCUAGGAUUACAGGCAUGAGCCACCGCCCUCAGCCACUAUCUUAUUUUUUAGCCUAUCUGAAUUAAAAACAUAAAGUCUUCUCUAUGUAUGUUGAUGAUAAACUUUGGGUUUCAAGGAAAAGAGUCACUCAGGCAACUUCCAAGAAUGGGAGGGGAGAAGGGGUUGUUAUAGGAUACAGUGGAAAUAAAUCUGGGAGGAAUCUCAAUCAUGUUCCAAGAGCUUGCAGGGGCCCAGAGAAAUUCUCACAAUGAGGCCUCACAGGAAAAGCAAGAACACCGACAGCAGGAAAGCUUGGAGGCUAAGAGUUCCCUUGGAAGUUGAACUACUGCCUGAGAAUAUUAAAACAAAAACAGAAACACGUAAAUAGCCAGCCCUGAAACGAGCCUCUCAACUUCUGAUAGGUUAUAUUUACAUUUAUGUACUUUCCUAUCACAGUUUAUAAUCAAGCUAAGGCUAGUAGCCUUGAAUAUUUUUAGGGCUGCAAUUUGUACAUCAUCUAAGCUAACAGAUGAAAAGUGCAAGUGUAGUUGCCUAAGCACAGGUACAUUCGUUCAACAACAAAUCUUUACCUGAAUGUCCAUUGUAUGUCCGACGCUGUCCUGUAUCCUGGGGUGGCAGCCUGGGGACCUGAGAGGACUUUGAGUGGAGCUAAAGAAACAGAAAAUAACUUCAACUAAUAAAUGUCUUUUAAUAUCUCUUGCAAUGGAAA